GAUGAACGCUAGCGGCAGGCCUAACACAUGCAAGUCGAGGGGCAGCACAGAAACAGCAAUGUUUUGGUGGCGACCGGCGGACGGGUGCGUAACGCGUAUGCAACCUACCUUUAACAGGGGGAUAACGGAGAGAAAUUUCCACUAAUACCCCAUAACAUCGAUCAAGGCAUCUUGAUUGGUUGAAAACUCCGGUGGUUAAAGAUGGGCAUGCGUUGUAUUAGGUAGUUGGUGAGGUAAUGGCUCACCAAGCCUACGAUACAUAGGGGGACUGAGAGGUUAGCCCCACACACUGGUACUGGGACACGGACCAGACUCCUACAGGAGGCAGCAGUGAGGAAUAUUGGUCAAUGGGGGCAACCCUGAACCAGCCAUGCCGCGUGCAGGAAGACGGCUCUAUGAGUUGUAAACUGCUUUUAAACAGGGAUAAAGCACAGUAUGUAUACUGUGUUGAAGGUACUGUAAGAAUAAGGAUCGGCUAACUCCGUGCCAGCCGCCGCAGUAA
rnacentral:rRNA from 1 species